AUGGCAUAAGCUAGCUUGACUGCGAGCGUGACGGCGCGAGCAGGUGCGAAAGCAGGUCAUAGUGAUCCGGUGGUUCUGAAUGGAAGGGCCAUCGCUCAACGGAUAAAAGGUACUCCGGGGAUAACAGGCUGAUACCGCCCAAGAGUUCAUAUCGACGGCGGUGUUUGGCACCUCGAUGUCGGCUCAUCACAUCCUGGGGCUGAAGUAGGUCCCAAGGGUAUGGCUGUUCGCCAUUUAAAGUGGUACGCGAGCUGGGUUUAGAACGUCGUGAGACAGUUCGGUCCCUAUCUGCCGUGGGCGCUGGAGAAUUGAGGGGGGCUGCUCCUAGUACGAGAGGACCGGAGUGGACGCAUCACUGGUGUUCGGGUUGUCAUGCCAAUGGCACUGCCCGGUAGCUAAAUGCGGAAGAGAUAAGUGCUGAAAGCAUCUAAGCACGAAACUUGCCCCGAGAUGAGUUCUCCCUGAGACUNAAUGAAUUGACGGGGGCCCGCACAAGCGGUGGAGCAUGUGGUUUAAUUCGAUGCAACGCGAAGAACCUUACCUGGUCUUGACAUCCACAGAACUUUGCAGAGAUGGUUUGGUGCCUUCGGGAACUGUGAGACAGGUGCUGCAUGGCUGUCGUCAGCUCGUGUUGUGAAAUGUUGGGUUAAGUCCCGCAACGAGCGCAACCCUUAUCCUUUGUUGCCAGCGGUUCGGCCGGGAACUCAAAGGAGACUGCCAGUGAUAAACUGGAGGAAGGUGGGGAUGACGUCAAGUCAUCAUGGCCCUUACGACCAGGGCUACACACGUGCUACAAUGGCAUAUACAAAGAGAAGCGACCUCGCGAGAGCAAGCGGACCUCAUAAAGUAUGUCGUAGUCCGGAUUGGAGUCUGCAACUCGACUCCAUGAAGUCGGAAUCGCUAGUAAUCGUAGAUCAGAAUGCUACGGUGAAUACGUUCCCGGGCCUUGUACACACCGCCCGUCACACCAUGGGAGUGGGUUGCAAAAGAAGUAGGUAGCUUAACCUUCGGGAGGGCGCUUACCACUUUGUGAUUCAUGACUGGGGUGAAGUCGUAACAAGGUAACCGUAGGGGAACCUGCGGUUG
rnacentral:rRNA from 1 species